rnacentral:rRNA from 1 species
AACGCUAGCUACAGGCUUAACACAUGCAAGUCGAGGGGCAGCGGGGGUCUAGCUUGCUAGAUUUGCCGGCGACCGGCGCACGGGUGAGUAACACGUAUCCAACCUGGCCCAUACUCGGGUAUAGCCUCUCGAAAGGGAGAUUAAUCCCCGAUGUUGUUGCGAUUCCGCAUGGUGUUGCAACCAAAGAGCUUCGGUAUGGGAUGGGGAUGCGUUCCAUUAGCUUGUUGGCGGGGUAACGGCCCACCAAGGCGACGAUGGAUAGGGGUUCUGAGAGGAAGGUCCCCCACACUGGAACUGAGACACGGUCCAGACUCCUACGGGAGGCAGCAGUGAGGAAUAUUGGUCAAUGGGCGAGAGCCUGAACCAGCCAAGUAGCGUGAAGGAAGACUGCCCUACGGGUUGUAAACUUCUUUUGUUUGGGAAUAAAGUGCGUCACGUGUGGCGUUUUGUAUGUACCAUUCGAAUAAGCAUCGGCUAAUUCCGUGCCAGCAGCCGCGGUAAUACGGAAGAUGCGAGCGUUAUCCGGAUUUAUUGGGUUUAAAGGGAGCGUAGGCGGGCUUUUAAGCCAGCUGUGAAAGUUUGCGGCUCAACCGUAAAAUUGCAGUUGGAACUGGAGACCUUGAGUGUGCAUAAGGUGGAUGGAAUUCGUGGUGUAGCGGUGAAAUGCUUAGAUAUCACGAAGAACUCCGAUUG